CAGACGACACUGCUGAGCGGGGGCUAGAGGCUGCGUCCAACUUCUACUACAGGCCUCAGGCUGUGGGAUAUCAUCCACAGUAUGACUUCGGUGGCUGGAUGCCCAACACUCUCUCUGCAACACCCUCCACCCACCAUGAAAGGGACAGCAAGCGAGGCCAUGAUGCUGCAGACGUUACCUGACAUCAUCACCACAGUGCAGAGCGCCACUUCCCUUUGUCCAUUACGCCAACAAACCACCUGCCGACACCUGGGAAGCAGAAUAUUCCCAGAAGAAAGCUGAAAACUUCCUGAUGCAGCUCUGAAACGUCGCCGCUUUGCCUCACGCUGAUGCGCUUCUUUUAAAAUGUUGUAUUUUGCUUGAUUUUAUGCAUCCUAUGCAAUCUGUUUUCACCUUUAUUUUAUUAUUCUGUGGUUUUAUGCACUGUAUUUAUUUUUAUUAUUAAGUUAUUCUCCAUCUUAUUCUACAUUAAUUUUUUAUCUGUUUUUAUGACCAUUCUGUCUUUUCUGUAUAAAACACUGACUUGGUGCUCGUGACUUUCCUGUAUGAAA